rnacentral:rRNA from 1 species
AGUGAACGCUGGCGGUAGGCCUAACACAUGCAAGUCGAACGGCAGCACAGUAAGAGCUUGCUCUUACGGGUGGCGAGUGGCGGACGGGUGAGGAAUACAUCGGAAUCUACUUUUUCGUGGGGGUUAACGUAGGGAAACUUACGCUAAUACCGCAUACGACCUACGGGUGAAAGCAGGGGAUCUUCGGACCUUGCGCGAUUGAAUGAGCCGAUGUCGGAUUAGCUAGUUGGCGGGGUAAAGGCCCACCAAGGCGACGAUCCGUAGCUGGUCUGAGAGGAUGAUCAGCCACACUGGAACUGGGACACGGUCCAGACUCCUACGGGAGGCAGCAGUGGGGAAUAUUGGACAAUGGGCGCAAGCCUGAUCCAGCCAUACCGCGUGGGUGAAGAAGGCCUUCGGGUUGUAAAGCCCUUUUGUUGGGAAAGAAAAGCAGCAGGUUAAUACCCCGCUGUUCUGACGGUACCCAAAGAAUAAGCACCGGCUAACUUCGUG